GUCUUAGCUUCAUCCUUCUCUACACCCAUCCCUUUUCUUUUCCAGACCCCCUUUCAAGUAACCCAGUUCACCCAUGACUGCUGAACGGCUACAGGUGGUGUCCCGAACAAGGGGACUGAAAACAGGGGAGGGGGUGGGGACCCACUGAGAAAUGCUGUCUUGGGUGGAGAUCCACAGAAAACAGAAGAAAAGCAACAGUUUACUGCACGGAUGCUGCAGGAGUGUGCUAGCUGCCAGAGUGAUUGGUGUGACAUGCUGAUGCUGAGACAAAGAAUGAUGCUGACCUGUGAGUUUGCUGAGUGCCCUGACAAUGGUUACAGGAUAGCUGUUUUGGACAUAUGUUCUUGACUCACCUUUGCUUGCCUAUAUCCCAGAUUGGACAAGUUGCCUUGCUUCAAGCUUUUAGACCUUGAGGGACAGAGAACAUGGAGACUAUGGAAACUGACUUAGAAAAAUUAAUCAAAAGGAGAAGUUAUAAUGACUCUUCUCUUUCCUUUAAUGUGACCAGUUAUUCUGACUCAGUCAUGGACUGGUCUAGAAAUCAAUCCAAUAUUGGAAAAAAAGGAGAUGACCGUCUUCAUUUGGAAGGCUGGUUCUGGACAUUUUCAGAGACAUAUUGGGAAGUUAGUUGCAGUUCUUUAUGAAGUUACAUUUUCAGCAUAUUAAAUUGGACAGGAUCUGAAUUUCAAACAAGUAUUAGUGCAUGUGUUUAAGAUCCUAAUCUUUUAUUCCUUCAACAAGGACGACUAUGCACAGCCCUCCAUGAGAAAUGUUAUCUUCACAUCGAUCAUUCAGGAAUAGUAAAGGAUUCUAUGGCUAAAGUUAGAGAAGAACUAGUCAAAAGGAAGAGAAAAAGGACAGAAUCAGGGAUGGUUUGAACCCUGAUUCUCCAUUCCCCAUGACUUAAAACUUUAAUUUCUACACUGCUUGGACUAUUAUUAUAAUUUUGUUGCUUUUAACUUUUGGACCAUGUAUCUUAAGCAGAUUGGUUGCCUUCACACAGGAUCACUUUCAGCAAGCUCAGCUAUUCACCAUGGCAGUUAUCCAUUGCUAUGAACUAAUGCAUUGAGUGCACAUUCAUAUGGGAAAGAGUGUUCUAUAGAAGGCCAGUAGUCAGAGAUGGGUAAGAGUGUUUUUGCGCUCCUAUCGACCUAAGACAGAGACAUACAUCAAUGCUAUGUUUGUCCUCCAUGACAGGUAAAAGGAGCAAUAUAGACACUGGACCUAAGACAGGCACGGUUGCCUUGCCGCUCUAUACCCUAGAUGCGAUUAUGGAAAACAAGUAAAUCUUGUGCCCCCUGUCCAGCUACUGAUAAUUGCUCAUCAUUUUUUAAAAAGGGGGGGAGAUUGUGUGCUUCCCUCAGCCUUGAGCAGGCUAAACAGAUCUUGAGUGCUUGCCACAACUGUUUUAUGACCUAGGUGGAGUGUCAGGCCUUGUGAUUUUGCAAUUUCCUACAGGAGCUUUGAGGAAUAGACCACCUGCUGAGCCUGUUUGCAACAUAAGACAGCUGAAACAAAAGAUGGGUCUGUGGGAGCUCUCUAUAUAAACACAGUGCUGAGUAUUAAACUUUGAGCCUUGAUCAGAA